rnacentral:rRNA from 1 species
UACAGAGGGUGCGAGCGUUAAUCGGAAUUACUGGGCGUAAAGCGCGCGUAGGCGGCUUUGCAAGUCGGGUGUGAAAUCCCCAGGCUUAACCUGGGAACUGCAUUCGAGACUGCAUUGCUAGAGUAUGGGAGAGGGAAGUGGAAUUUCCGGUGUAGCGGUGAAAUGCGUAGAUAUCGGAAGGAACACCUGCGGCGAAGGCGGGUUGCUGGGCUGAUACUGACGCUGAUGCGCGAAAGCCAGGGGAGCGAACGGG